rnacentral:rRNA from 1 species
GACGAACGCUGGCGGCGUGCCUAAUACAUGCAAGUCGAGCGGACCAAACAGGAGCUUGCUCUUGUUUGGUUAGCGGCGGACGGGUGAGUAACACGUGGGUAACCUGCCCGUAAGACCGGGAUAACUCCGGGAAACCGGAGCUAAUACCGGAUAACACCGAAGACCGCAUGGUCUUUGGUUGAAAGGCGGCUUCGGCUGCCACUUACGGAUGGGCCCGCGGCGCAUUAGCUAGUUGGUGAGGGAACGGCUCACCAAGGCGACGAUGCGUAGCCGGCCUGAGGGGGUGACCGGCCCCACUGGGACUGAGACACGGCCCAGACUCCUACGGGAGGCAGCAGUAGGGAAUCUUCCGCAAUGGACGAAAGUCUGACGGAGCGACGCCGCGUGAGCGAAGAAGGUCUUCGGAUCGUAAAGCUCUGUUGUUAGGGAAGAAGAAGCGCCGUUCGAACAGGGCGGCGCGGUGACGGUACCUAACGAGAAAGCCCCGGCUAACUACGUG